rnacentral:rRNA from 1 species
AGCGAACGUUAGCGGCAGGCUUAACACAUGCAAGUCGAGCGAGAAAGGGACUUCGGUCCUGAGUAGAGCGGCGGACGGGUGCGUAACACGUGGAUAAUCUACCCUUUGGCGGGGGAUAACAGUUCGAAAGAACUGCUAAUACCGCAUAAGUUGUUCGGGGUCGUCCGGUCCCGGGCCGAGGAAAGGAAGGGCGGCUCGCAAGAGGCUCUCACCGAAGGAGGAGUCCGCGGCCCACUCAGCUAGUUGGCGAGGUAAUGGCUCACCAAGGCUUAGACGGGUAGGCUGGUCUGAGAGGAUGAUUAGCCACACUGGGACUGAGACACGGCCCA